CCUACGGGAGGCAGCAGUGGGGAAUAUUGCACAAUGGGCGAAAGCCUGAUGCAGCAACGCCGCGUGAGCGAUGAAGGCCUUCGGGUCGUAAAGCUCUGUCCUCAAGGAAGAUAAUGACGGUACUUGAGGAGGUAGCCCCGGCUAACUACGUUCCAGCAGCCGCGGUAAUACGUAGGGGGCUAGGGUUAUCCGGAAUUACUGGGCGUAAAGGGGACGUAGGGGGUUUCUUAAGUCAGUGGUGAAAGGCUGCGGCUCAACCGUAGUAAGCCUUUGAGACUGGGGAACUUGAGUGCAGGAGAGGAGAGUGGAAUUCCUAGUGUAGCGGUGAAAUGCGUAGAUAUUAGGAGGAACACCAGUUGCGAAGGCAGCUCUCUGGACUGUAACUGACACUGAGGCACGAAAGCGUGGGGAGCAAACAGGAUUAGAUACCCUGGUAGUC
rnacentral:rRNA from 1 species